GCCGGUCCCGUCCCUGCGCUGGCGGCUCGGGGAGGCGCUGCUGGAGGGGAACAGCAGCAAUGCCUCCCUCAUGGUCACCUCCAGCUGGGCCGGGCCCUGGGCCAACAGCUCCCUGAGCUUCCCUGGGGGACUGAGCUCUGGGGAUAGGCUCAGCUGCGAGGCAGGGAAUGUGCACGGGGUCCAGAGGGCCACUGUCCUGCUGCUGCCGGGGAAGCCAGAGAGUUGGGGUGGAUAUGUGCUCGCAGCACUUGGGGGAGCUGCUGCCUCGGCUCUGCUCUCUCUCUGUGCCUGCCUGCUCUUCUCCAGGAUGAAGACCCCCCAGAAGGAGGCGGUGAGGACAGUGGCCACAGAGAAGGGCGCAUCCUGUGGCCCGACUCCUGUCUGUUGGGGUCACCUGAAUGCAUCUGGGUCAGACCACCCGUCAUCUGCCAUGGCUACCACAGGGGAGGAGCAGGGGCUCCAUUACGCCUCCCUCAGCUUCCUGGGACUGAAGCCCCGGAAGCCUCAGAACCAGAAGGACUCCAGCACCACUGAGUGUUCAUCUCUGGAUGCUGCUUUCUCCCUGCUCCAAGCCACAAGGGAGUCUCCAGGCCAGAGCUGCUUCCUGGAUUUGACCUAUGUGUUUCAGUCCUUGUUUGAUUGAAAUAAAUGCUGUGCAAAUUGGAUACAUCUUUCUUGAAUUCUAUUUCCCUAAUCACUGAUUACCCGUGUGCACAAUGGCACCUGGCUGAAUCUAUCUAUUUAUCAUCUAUCUGUAGUCUUUGAGAUUGAUCCUAGGACUUUAAUGUUGGGCUGGUGCUGAGCCAUUGAGCUACACUCCAAGCCCAGCUGAGAAGAAUUGGUUGUAACUCCAACCACUACCUAGUACCACUCAAACCUUGGCAGAUAAUUCAACUUAAGAAAAAAGCUCCUAGGCGCUGAUCUGUCCCCAAGUGAGUGCCAUAGAGUAAUUUGAUACUCCAUUCCUGGAAGUCACACCCUCAGUUAGAGCAGAAAUGACAGAACUGUUGUGGAUACCUCAAAUAUGAAAGCCCUCCGCACUGGAUAGUCUUACACCCUAUCAGAUCCCAAGUCACUGAUGUCAUUGGAUGUGAUUGAUGCAGUGGGGGGCACUGACCAUGGCCUCACCUAUCCACGUGCAGCCCUGGAAGUGCACCAGUCCUGUCUACACAGAUGACAAAAGCUCCAGGCUCCACACCACAAUGGGAACAGCCAGUAGUGGGAUCAACUUCAAGUAACAGAGCCAAUGAGAGUAGAGCUCAAGGAACCCCACCUCCCAGAGGAGCUUCCACUCCCACUGUAGGAGAAACCACAGAGGGUGAGCUUCACAUACUCUGCUGUCAACACCAUGCCUGCCUCAGCCACCAGAGGGUCCCCACUUUGGGAGCCCUAUACAGAAAGUAGGGUUCCUGUGUGUGUGAAACUGUGCACUGCAUCCACAACACCUCAUCUCAGCCAAAAAAGCCACAGGAGGUUCACACUGUGAAGUCCGGUGGGAAUUAAACUCAACACUACACAACAAAUCUGAUAACCUAUGACACAACCGCAAAGAUGGCCGCUCAACGUGACGCGCCUCACAUUGAAUAGAAAAAUUCAUUGUAAGAGAUGCAUAAAUCUCAACAUAGCAGCAUAACAAUAUGGAAAAACAAGGCAAGGUGACACAUUCUAAAGUUCAAAAUUCUAUAGUAUCAGAUUUCAUAGGUAAUUAAAUGGGUAGAAUGCCAAAUAAUGAAUCCAAAACAAUGAUUUUUACAAAGUUUUAUGAAUUCCAAGAGAAUACAGAUAAACAAAUGAAUUAAGAAGACAAUUCAGAGGUAGAGAUUGUUUUUUUGGUACCGGGGAUCAAACUUGGGUCCUUGCGCUUGCGCAGCAGGCGGCAAAACCACUGAGCUAAAUCCCCAGCCCUAGAGGUAGAGAUUUUGAAAAAGAACAAAGUAGAAAUCUUAGAAAUGAAAAAUCUCAAUCAAUCAGAUAAAAACUCAGCUGAGAGUCUCAGCAACAAAGUAAACCAAGCAGAAGAAAGAAUAUCAGAGCCUGAAACCACUCUGAUGCAAUAUUAUAUUCAGACUGAAAUAAAGAUAAAACAGGAAAAAUGAACAGGACAUACCCAAUGCCUGGGGCAAUAUUAAAAGCAUAAAUAUAUGCACAAUCAGAAUGUAAAAAGGGAAAGAAAUGCAGGCCACAGACACAGAAAACCUGUUCAAUGAUAUAAGAGCAGAAAAUACCCCAAAUCUCAGAGAAGACAUCUGUAUCCAGGUACAGGAAAUCACUUAGAACCCCAAACAGACAAAAUCAGAAAAGAAUCUCUCCAUGAUAUAUUGUAGUUAAAUUGCCAAACUACAGGCCAAAGAUGAAAUAUUAAAAUUUGCAAGAGAGUAGGGCCAAGUGACAUUUAAUCUAAACUAGUUUACACUAAUGUUAGGUUUUUCAGGAAAAAAUUCUAAAAGGCAAGUGGGAAUGUAAUAAUGUAUUUCAAAUCCUGAGAGAAAAUAACUGUCAACCAAGUUUGCUAUCCCUAGAAUCAAAGGAGAAACAAAGACCUGCCAUGAUAAACAUAAAGGAACACAUGACCACAAGCCAGCAUUACAGAAGACACUUCAGUUAAUAAUAAAACAGAAGAGAAAGAAACUAAAUGCAAUCAUGAGAGAAUAUGGAAGAAUGUAUCUCAACAGAAGAGCAGAUAUAAAAAUGAGAAAUGGGGUGCUGGGGAUUUAGCGCAGUGGUUCCGCCACCUGCCUCGCAAGUGCAAGGUCCUGAGUUCAAUCCCUGGUACCAAAAAAAAAAAAGAGAGAGAAAUAGGAAGGGAUCAAACUUGUGAAUACAGUAAACAAUCAAACUUUUUUUUCUAGUCUCUUAAAAAUGUGUAGUACUGUAUUGUUUUUUUGUUGUUGUUCUUUUAUUGGUACAUUUUAGGUAUACAGUUCAUUUACAUUUAUCAUUGGGUGCUUGUGCCUGUAUAACCAUGAUAUAUCUUGGUUCUUAUUUUUUCCCCAUUACCUUCACGCCCUCCGCCCUUCCCUAUUUACAGAGAUUUAAUUUCCAUUUUCUUUUCUCUUCUCAUAGUUUUUCCUUUCCCUCUUUUCCUUUCCCCUUCCCCUCCCUUCACUCCUUUGUCUUUGGGCCUUUUUUCCUAUUUCAAAUUAUCAUUUAUUCAUUUUAAUCAUUUUAACCCUUGUUUACACUAUCAGUUUCUCACACUAGUGAAACUAUUCGGUAUUUGCACAUGUGCGUCCUAUUUAUUUCACUUAAG
rnacentral:lncRNA from 1 species